rnacentral:rRNA from 1 species
CCUACGGGGGGCAGCAGUGGGGAAUAUUGGACAAUGGGCGAAAGCCUGAUCCAGCCAUGCCGCGUGUGUGAAGAAGGCCUUCGGGUUGUAAAGCACUUUCAGUGGGGAAGAAAGCCUUGGGGCUAAUACCCUCGAGGAAGGACAUCACCCACAGAAGAAGCACCGGCUAACUCCGUGCCAGCAGCCGCGGUAAUACGGAGGGUGCGAGCGUUAAUCGGAAUUACUGGGCGUAAAGCGCGCGUAGGCGGUCUGAUAAGUCGGUUGUGAAAGCCCCGGGCUCAACCUGGGAACGGCAUCCGGAACUGUCAGGCUAGAGUGCAGGAGAGGAAGGUAGAAUUCCCGGUGUAGCGGUGAAAUGCGUAGAGAUCGGGAGGAAUACCAGUGGCGAAGGCGGCCUUCUGGACUGACACUGACGCUGAGGUGCGAAAGCGUGGGUAGCAAACAGGAUUAGAUACCCUAGUAGUC